rnacentral:rRNA from 1 species
GACGAACGCUGGCGGCGCGCUUAACACAUGCAAGUCGAACGGUAAGGCCCUUCGGGGUACACGAGUGGCGAACGGGUGAGUAACACGUGGGUGAUCUGCCCUGCACUUCGGGCUAAGCCUGGGAAACUGGGUCUAAUACCGGAUAGGACUCCUGGCUUCAUGGUUGGGGGGGGAAAGCUUUUGCGGUGUGGGAUGGGCCCGCGGCCUAUCAGCUUGUUGGUGGGGUAAUGGCCUACCAAGGCGACGACGGGUAGCCGGCCUGAGAGGGUGACCGGUCACACUGGGACUGAGAUACGGCCCAGACUCCUACGGGAGGCAGCAGUGGGGAAUAUUGCACAAUGGGCGCAAGCCUGAUGCAGCGACGCCACGUGAGGGAUGACGGCCUUCGGGUUGUAAACCUCUUUCAGCUAUGACGAAGCGCAAGUGACGGUAGUAGCAGAAGAAGGACCGGCCAACUACGUGCCAGCCGCCGCCGUAA